rnacentral:rRNA from 1 species
CAAUAGCGUAUAUUUAAGUUGUUGCAGUUAAAAAGCUCGUAGUUGGAUUUCGGUUGAGGACGACCGGUCCGCCCUCUGGGUGAGUAUCUGGCUCGGCCUGGGCAUCUUCUUGGAGAACGUAGCUGCACUUGACUGUGUGGUGCGGUAUCCAGGACUUUUACUUUGAGGAAAUUAGAGUGUUUCAAGCAGGCUUACGCCUUGAAUACAUUAGCAUGGAAUAAUAAGAUAGGACCUCGGUUCUAUUUUGUUGGUUUCUAGAGCUGAGGUAAUGAUUAAUAGGGAUAGUUGGGGGCAUUCGUAUUUAACUGUCAGAGGUGAAACUCUUGGAUUUGUUAAAGACGGACUACUGCGAAAGCAUUUGCCAAGGAUGUUUUCAUUG